AGCGAACGCUGGCGGCAGGCUUAACACAUGCAAGUCGAGCGGGCAUCCUUGUGGUGUCAGCGGCAGACGGGUGAGUAACGCGUGGGAACGUGCCCUUCGGUUCGGAAUAACUCAGGGAAACUUGAGCUAAUACCGGAUACGUGCGAGAGCAGAAAGGUUUAUCUGCCGAAGGAUCGGCCCGCGUCUGAUUAGCUAGUUGGUGAGGUUAUGGCUCACCAAGGCGACGAUCAGUAGCCGGUCUGAGAGGAUGAUCAGCCACACUGGGACUGAGACACGGCCCAGACUCCUACGGGAGGCAGCAGUGGGGAAUAUUGGACAAUGGGGGCAACCCUGAUCCAGCCAUGCCGCGUGAGUGAUGACGGCCUUAGGGUUGUAAAGCUCUUUUCUCCGGGACGAUAAUGACGGUACCGGAGGAAUAAGCCCCGGCUAACUUCGUG
rnacentral:rRNA from 1 species